rnacentral:rRNA from 1 species
UCAAGUAAUGAAGUGCACAUGGUGGAUGCCUUGGCAGUCAGAGGCGAUGAAAGACGUGACAGCCUGCGAAAAGCGUCGGGGAGGCGGCAAUAUCCUGUGAUCCGGCGAUAUCUGAAUGGGGAAACCCACUUGUCAUAAGACAGGUAUCGUAAAUUUAUUUACGAGGCAAACCGGGAGAAGUGAAACAUCUCAGUAACCCGAGGAAAAGACAUCAAUAGAGAUUCCCCUAGUAGCGGCGAGCGAACGGGGAGGAGCCGACUGAUUAUAAUUUAGAGGAAUGACUUGGAAAGGUCAAUCGUAGAGGGUGAUAAUCCCGUACUCGAAAGGUUAUAAGAAGCAUAUUAAGUAGGGCGGAACACGAGAAAUUCUGUCUGAAGAUGGGGGGACCAUCCUCCAAGGCUAAAUACUCCUGACUGACCGAUAGUGAACCAGUACCGUGAGGGAAAGGCGAAAAGAACCCCUGUGAGGGGAGUGAAAUAGAACCUGAAACCGUGUGCAUACAAGCAGUCGGAGCGGACAUGUUCCGUGACGGCGUACCUUUUGUAUAAUGGGUCAGCGACUUAUAUUCUGUAGCAAGGUUAACCGAAUAGGGGAGCCGUAGGGAAACCGAGUCUUAAUAGGGCGUCUAGUUGCAGGGUAUAGACCCGAAACCGAGUGAUCUAUCCAUGAGCAGGUUGAAAGUGACGUAACAGUUACCGGAGGACCGAACCCACUGUCGUUGAAAAGCCAGGGGAUGACUUGUGGAUAGGGGUGAAAGGCUAAUCAAACUCGGUGAUAGCUGGUUCUCCCCGAAAGCUAUUUAGGUAGCGCCUCGGACGAACACCAUUGGGGGUAGAGCACUGUUUCGGCUAGGGGGUCAUCCCGACUUACCAAACCGAUGCAAACUCCGAAUACCGAUGAGUGAUAUCCGGGAGACAGACGGCGGGUGCUAACGUCCGUCGUCAAGAGGGAAACAACCCAGACCGCCAGCUAAGGCCCCAAAUUCCUAGUUAAGUGGGAAACGAUGUGGGAAGGCACAGACAGCUAGGAGGUUGGCUUAGAAGCAGCCAUCCUUUAAAGAAAGCGUAAUAGCUCACUAGUCGAGUCGGCCUGCGCGGAAGAUGUAACGGGGCUCAAACUAGGAGCCGAAGCUGCGGAUUUAAUUGUUUCAAUUAAGUGGUAGGGGAGCAUUGUGUAAGCCUGUGAAGGUGUGUUGUAAAGCAUGCUGGAGGUAUCACAAGAGCGAAUGCUGACGUGAGUAACGACAAAACGGGUGAAAAGCCCGUUCGCCGGAAGACCAAGGGUUCCAGUCCAACGUUAAUCGGGGCUGGGUGAGUCGACCCCUAAGGCGAGGCCGAAAGGCGUAGUCGAUGGGAAAUCGGUUAAUAUUCCGAUACUUGUUUAUGAUGCGAUGGAGGGACGGAGAAGGUUAUGCCAGCUUGGCGAUGGUUGUCCAAGUGGAAGGAUGUAGUUAGGUUUAGUAGGCAAAUCCGCUAGACUAUUAAUGAGAUCUGAUAGCAAGCUGUACUUGUACAGCGAAGUGGCAAAUACCCUGCUUCCAGGAAAAGCUUCUAAGCGAUAGUCAUAAAGAAAUCGUACCCUAAACCGACACAGGUGGUCAGGUAGAGAAUACCAAGGCGCUUGAGAGAACUCUGCUGAAGGAACUAGGCAAAAUGGUACCGUAACUUCGGGAGAAGGUACGCUGCCGAUGGUGAGUAGUCACGCACUACAAAGCUAUUGGCAGUCGCAGAUACCAGGCCGCUGCAACUGUUUAUUAAAAACACAGCACUCUGCAAACACGAAAGUGGACGUAUAGGGUGUGAUGCCUGCCCGGUGCUGGAAGGUUAAUUGAUGGGGUUAGCGUAAGCGAAGCUCUUGAUCGAAGCCCCAGUAAACGGCGGCCGUAACUAUAACGGUCCUAAGGUAGCGAAAUUCCUUGUCGGGUAAGUUCCGACCUGCACGAAUGGCAUAAUGAUGGCGGCGCUGUCUCCAGCAGAGACUCAGUGAAAUCGAAAUCGCAGUGAAGAUGCUGUGUACCCGCGGCUAGACGGAAAGACCCCGUGAACCUUUACUACAGCUUUACAUUGAACUUUGACCUUACCUGUGUAGGAUAGGUGGGAGGCUUUGAAGCAGGCACGCCAGUGUCUGUGGAGCCAUCCUUGAAAUACCACCCUGGUAAUGUUGGGGUUCUAACUCAAGCUUAACAGAGCUGAGGACAAUGUAUGGUGGGUAGUUUGACUGGGGCGGUCUCCUCCUAAAGAGUAACGGAGGAGUACGAAGGUGCGCUCAGAACGGUCGGAAAUCGUUCGAAGAGUAUAAAGGCAAAAGCGCGCUUAACUGCGAGACCCACAAGUCGAGCAGAUACGAAAGUAGGUCUUAGUGAUCCGGUGGUUCUGUAUGGAAGGGCCAUCGCUCAACGGAUAAAAGGUACUCUGGGGAUAACAGGCUGAUACCGCCCAAGAGUUCAUAUCGACGGCGGUGUUUGGCACCUCGAUGUCGGCUCAUCUCAUCCUGGGGCUGAAGCAGGUCCCAAGGGUAUGGCUGUUCGCCAUUUAAAGAGGUACGCGAGCUGGGUUUAGAACGUCGUGAGACAGUUCGGUCCCUAUCUACCGUGGGCGUUGGAAAUUUGAGAGGAUCUGCUCCUAGUACGAGAGGACCAGAGUGGACGAACCUCUGGUGUUUCGGUUGUGACGCCAGUCGCAUUGCCGAGUAGCUAUGUUCGGAUGGGAUAACCGCUGAAAGCAUCUAAGCGGGAAGCCCACCUUAAGAUUAGAUUUCCCUAAAGAGCCGUUGUAGACUACGACGUUGAUAGGUUGGGUGUGGAAGCAUAGUGAUAUGUGUAGCUAACCAAUACUAAUUGCUCGUUUGGCUUGACUAU